ACAGUGAUCAGGUUACGAGGGAU
rnacentral:miRNA from 1 species